CCUACGGGAGGCAGCAGUGAGGAAUAUUGGUCAAUGGGCGCAAGCCUGAACCAGCCAAGUCGCGUGAGGGAUGACGGCCCUAUGGAUUGUAAACCUCUUUUGUCGGGGAGCAAGGCCCGCCACGUGUGGCGGGAAGGAGAGUACCCGAAGAAAAAGCAUCGGCUAACUCCGUGCCAGCAGCCGCGGUAAUACGGAGGAUGCGAGCGUUAUCCGGAUUUAUUGGGUUUAAAGGGUGCGUAGGCGGAAGGUUAAGUCAGCGGUAAAAUGUCGGUGCUCAACCCCGGCCGGCCGUUGAAACUGGUGGUCUUGAGUGAGCGAGAAGUAUGCGGAAUGCGUGGUGUAGCGGUGAAAUGCAUAGAUAUCACGCAGAACCCCGAUUGCGAAGGCAGCAUACCGGCGCUCAACUGACGCUGAGGCACGAAAGCGUGGGGAUCGAACAGGAUUAGAUACCCGAGUAGUC
rnacentral:rRNA from 1 species